UCCAAGGUUUUUAUAAAAACCACCAGCUCAUCCACAGAACAGUCCU
rfam:Mesocricetus auratus contig111556, whole genome shotgun sequence.